CCCUUAGAUGUUCUGGGCCGCACGCGCGCUACACUGACGAAUGCAACGAGCCUAUAACCUUGGCCGAAAGGUCUGGGUAAUCUCCAAAUUUCGUCGUGAUGGGGAUAGAUUAUUGCAAUUAUUAAUCUUCAACGAGGAAUGCCUAGUAAGCGCAAGUCAUCAGCUUGCGUUGAUUACGUCCCUGCCCUUUGUACACACCGCCCGUCGCUCCUACCGAUUGAAUGGUCCGGUGAAGCGUUCGGACCGUGGCCUUUGGACGGUUCGCCGUCUGUUGGCUGCGGGAAGUUCGUUAAACCUUAUCAUUUAGAGGAAGGAGAANUCGUAACA
rnacentral:rRNA from 1 species